rnacentral:rRNA from 1 species
UACGAAGGGGGCUAGCGUUGCUCGGAAUCACUGGGCGUAAAGGGCGCGUAGGCGGCGCAACAAGUCACUUGUGAAAUCUCCGGGCUUAACCCGGAGCGGCCAAGUGAUACUGUCGUGCUAGAGUGCGGAAGGGGCUACUGGAAUUCUCGGUGUAGCGGUGAAAUGCGUAGAUAUCGGGAGGAACACCAGUGGCGAAGGCGAUCUCUGGACGGGAUACUGACGCUGAGGCGCGAAAGCUAGGGGGAGGCAAAACGGG